GAAUCAUGAGGUCAAAGGAACUGCCUGAAGAGCUCAGAGACAGAAUUGUAGCAAGGCCCGUCUUUGUUUAUUCAGUCAUUGUUUCAUUUGCGUCUAUCUACAAUAAUUCUGAAUGCCUCGUACAGGAAUGGGGGUCACUCGGGUUCCCAUGGUUAAAUGGAGUCAUCAAGCUUCAUGGGAAUUCCAUGGCUGCAGAUGCAGAGAACUUUGGCUCUCACCUCAUCUUUACACAGGUCACUCUUUGGACUGGCGCUAUUAUGAAGCAGGCUCUAUCAAGCUGAUGUAUAUGGUCAUCUUUCAUUUGAGUUCUAGAUACUGCCGCUGUCAUUUCCCUUCAUCCUCCCCACCACCACCAGGUUGGCCCUAUCCAUGCGGGGGGUAGGCUCCGCCCUGCCUUCGUCUUUGGCAGGAUUAGCUGGUAUCUACAAACUUCAGAUCCACGCUACGGAUGGGGCCUAGGGCAAAAUAAUUCUAUUUUUUGUGUUUUUGUAAAUAAAUAUUCAGUCUUAUCUCUACCUCCUGAGUC
ensembl:lncRNA